GGUGGUUCUCAGGUGACGCACCCCGGAAUUGGGCUCCCUUUUCUCUGGUUCCGGGUGUGUCACCCGAGAACCGCA
rfam:Myotis lucifugus cont2.35336, whole genome shotgun sequence.